UCCUUAGUAGCUCAGUGGUAGAGCGUUCGGCUGUUAACCGAAUGGUCGUUGGUUCAAGUCCAACCUGAGGAG
rnacentral:tRNA from 1 species